AAAUAUGUAAAGAUUCUCCAUUUUCAACAAGAUUGGAAGUUGUAGGUUAACUUGUAUUUGACAUUACAAAAAUUCUAUCUAUUUUCCGUUUAUACUCAUGUCUAGUCAAAACACUUCCAGCAGUUUAAGAAUGGAUAAUCUAAAAGAAAAAGAAAGAAAAAAGAAAAAAAAAUGUUCAAUUAUUGAAAUGUAUUUUUUUUUUGCAAAUUGUAAUGUAUAUAUUUUUGCCAUCUUUUUGUUAUUUUAGGAUUUGAGAUACUUUCAAAUUUUACACGUUACUUUAUACAUAUUGUUAAUGCAAUUAGAUCUGCCGAUGUGAAUAUUCCCACUAAAUUUCUUAGCAAAAAUUUUAAUUAUUUUUGUUUUUUGUUAGCAACGUUUCAAAAUACCUUACCAUAGCAAAUGCCUCUCUAGUGUAAACUGAAAAGAUGAAUAAUGGUCUGCAGUAAAUAUAUCCCCUUACAACCUUUUCUUUCAUGUUAAUUUUAAUAUCUUUAAGAUAAUGUGACAAGGGUGCUCUAAUGCAGAGGAAUUUAUGAAGUUAAGAAGUUAGAAAUAUAUUUUUUGCACUUUUUUUGUCAUUUUUAGCUGAUUUUGGUUUGUAACCAAGGUGAUAUUUUUUAAAGAAUAAUUUUACAAAAGGCAUAGUUGAAGAACAUCUUGUUGAAAUUGGAUUGGUUGAUUUUUGGUGUUAAACACCACUUUAACAUGAUUUACUAUAAUUUUGGCUGUAAAUUUUUAUUUGUGGAGACAGCCAAAGUGCCUGGUGAAAACAUCACCUUCAUCAGGGAAACGGGCAAACCCUAGUCAAAUUAAGAAUGAAGUUACACAUUUCAUGUGAGGGUUCUCAGUGUUGACAGGCUAGUGAUGCAGUAGUUGAACUACUUAUAGGACCACUCUGCCACCAUAAGUCGAUCAGUACGAAAUAUUUUAUUGAAAUGUGUUAGAUUUUUGUUAUCAAUCUAUUUUUUAAUUUUAAUUGUACUAUUUUAUUUAUUUUGUUUGAUAUAACAAGGAUGUGGAGUCCGAACAGGGUGAAAUUUGGGUCAAAGGGAGGCAAUUUAUUAUACCCCUGUUUAACUCCACAUACUUGAAAUUCCCUCAAUGUUAGGAUUUUCAUCCACUUGGAUAUUCAUGUUUGUACAUUUUUUUUUAAUAUCAGAUGUAUACUAGCUAAUAUUGACUAUUAUUUAGAGCUCUGUAAUAAAAAAAAAUAAAUGUAAGCAGAGCUCUAGAUAAUAAGUAUGCAGGGUAGGAGAAAUCUUGGGUCAUUAACAAUUGAUUUGCUGAAAUUUUCAAGAAAGGGGAUUUAUUGGAAAUGCAUCUGAUAUAUUUAAUAUAUAAAACUAUAUUUAAAAAAAAAAGAUGUUAAGAUGAUGAGGAGAGCCACCUUGUCAGCCGGGAGAGCAGCUCUAAGGGAGAUGGUCUUUUUAAUCUUCACCAAGUCUGAGGCUUUACCAUGAAAAAUAUGUGGUUGUUAUAAUGAUGAUGUUUUCAUGGUGUUGGGAGUAAGACUUGGAUGUCUGAUAUUGUUAACAUGUUGGUUAGCAUCAGGUUUCCAUUGGAUUACUUGCUGGGAUAAAGCUGUUAUAAGUCGAAAGAGUUGCUGUUGUUGCCUUCCUUGUAUUGUAAAAUCCUCAGACUACAAUCCUGCAAACCAUUGGAUGAACUUUUGCUAUCUUUUGUAAAAAAAAUCAGCAGAUAUUUGUCUUAUAAGCAGAAUGAAUUAUAAAUGCAAUUAAUUUUUAAUGCUUUAUUAUUCAAAUUAUAAUAUUUCAUUAUUUUUUCUUGCAUUCAGUUAUUGUUUUGUGAUUGAAGAAAUAUAAAAAAAAACUGUGAAAUUAUUGUUAUUUGAGAGGUCCCAAAGGUAUGAUGUAUGGUUUCACAAGAUACCCAUAAGACUUGCUUCAGUUUACAUAUAUUUUUUAAGUUAUGUACACUGGUUAAGAAUUAUAAGUCCUUUGUGAAAUGAUUUUUUCUGGUUAGAAACCUAUUAAGUAGGACUUUGAUGGCCAAACACUAAAAGGGAAUAAAACAAAUCCCCUAUUAAACAAUUUAAGUACUGAGUUUUUGGUGCAAUAUGAACUAGAAAUAAAAAUGUUUAGUUAGAUGGUUUGUUUUGACUCUGCAUUCUUUACAUUCAUACAAAUUAAUGGCUGUCAGUUUUAUUUAUUGGUUUUGUUUAUAUAUUAUAAAUGCAUUAUUCAGCAUCUGAGACCACUCAAGUGAAAAUAAUUACAUAGUUUUUGCAGUUUGUCAUAUUUUCUCAUUUUUGUGUGAUUGAUUUCUAUAUUUUUUCUCAUUUAUGAUUAUUUAUAUUUUAAUGUUUGAUUUUUGAGACUUGUACUCAGCUUCUAAACAAUUACCUCCCCCCUCCACAUGUAUAACCAGGAUCCUGUAAAAGAAGUUUUGAUUUUGCAGGAUGGAUGGAUAAUUAAAAAUGCAAGAUUUUUUUAAUGUGCUAGUUCAUAAUGUAAAAGUCUGCACAAGACAUCUAACCCUACCUGAACACAUUAUUCUGACUUCCAGCUGACCAGUCUUAAUGCUCCUACUCCUAAUUGCUGAAUGCUUAGCAGGGGAGCAUCAAAUACCAAUUUUCAAUUCUUUGAUAUGACCCAGGGCAGGACCAAAUCCCAUGCCCAUCUGCACUCAUGUUGAGCAUAAAAAGGUUAUGUUGUCUCCUCUUUGGUCGGGUUGUUGUCUCUUUGACAUAUUCCCCAUUUCCAUUCUCAAUUUUAUUAAAGAAGAUUUGUCUGUCUGUCCAUCAUCAUCUCUCAUCCACAGCUUAUAAACUAUAGGAAGGUUUUCAUUUAAACUUUCAGAUUAUCUUCUGUAUCUAAUGGCUGUGUGUAUUUUAUUUUAUUAUAAUGAAAUUUUGGGGUUCUCAAUUGUAAUGAAUGGACCUAAGUAUUUGAAAAAAAAAGGGAAAUAAGCUUCUCAUACCACCAUUUUAUCAUGUGAAGGAUAGGUUGGUUCAAAUAUAUUUGUUUUUAAUCAUGUUUUUAGUAGUUGGAUCUCAUUAGGACAAAAUUUUAAUGACUUAAAUUCAAAAUAAAUUUGGGGUUCACACUGAUAUAUAUUACCACUGUAGCUUUAAUGUAAAUUUUAUAAGGCUUUGCUAUAACAAGAUUUGUGUUUUAUCUUGUUUUAUCUGAUUUUAGUGGUUUUUAUGUGAUUUUAUUUGUUUUUACUGUCAAAUCUUGUUAUACCAAGCCUUAGUAUGAUUGAGUUUAUAUAUUUUGAUUAUACAUGCAAUUCAAAAUAUAAAUUUACAUAAUGAGAUCAGACAUUUAUUAUGCUUUUAACUCUUCUUAGUGGAUAAAAUAGAAAAAUGAAUGAACAUAAAUAUUGAAGUGGUCGUUGAAGAUUGACCAAAUUACAAGAUUUAUAAAUGCAGAAUCUUGCUCCAACUAAAUCUAUGUUCUUAUCAGCUGAACCAACCUAUCCUUCAAUAUGAGUAAUUAAAUUUUAUAAAUGGAAAAGUCCAUUCUUCGAUUUGGGAACCUUUGGAUGUGAAAAAAAUAUACACAAUGCCAACAGAUACUGAAGAUUAUUUGAAAGUUUAGGCAAAAACAAUUCAAUCCUUUAAUUGUGAUUGGAAGUUGUAGACGGAUGAGCAAACAGAUGAUAUACUUGCUUACUAUGGUACAUUUCCUAAAGGAUAAAUAUGGACUAUGGGUAUGGGUUUUGCUCAUGGUUGAAGGCUGUAGGUGACUGAUAGUUGUUAAAUUCUAUGUCAUUUGGUCUCUGGUGGAGAGUUGUCUCGUUGGCAAUCAUAUCUCCUCUUUUUAUUUUAUAUGAAAUAAUUACUUAUUACUUCCUGGGCAAAAAGUUCUGGUUCCAAGAAAAUAAUAAAAAAAAAUACUUAUAUCAUACAUGUAUUGUUAAAUAACUAUCCUACUUUGAUAUAAAGAAUUGACUUUGGUUAGAAAUUGGGAGGAAUUAUAAAGAAACUUUAUAUACAAUAUAAGAGCUUGGGGUUAUAAAUUAAUGUUUAAUGAAAUGCAGUUAACUAUUUCCUUGGUGAUCUAAUAAUUUUUGCACAGAUCAUGAUAUUAGUUUAUUUAAAUAACCCAGUAAAUAAAUUGAGUACACCUCAUUUAUAAAUGAAUUUGAUUCAUGUAUUUUUAUGCAUUUUUUAUCUUAGUAUUUACCAUUGUAUUCCUUGUUAUAUUUGUAAAUGCCUCUUCGUAUGUGAAAAACUGAGGAUUCAUAUAUUUUAUGGAAUUAUAUAAAUUUAUUUUAAGUUUGGUAUUUAAAAGUAUUGGAAAGCACCAAGUUUAAUAUUGAGCAAAAAAAAUAUUCCUUUAAGACCUAAGGAUAUUAAAAUUUAAGACAUGUAUCUCAGAACAGAAUUGAUUUUCUAAAUUCUAUUUAAACAGCUAGUCUGGGAACUGGUAUCAAGAAACUAAAAAGAAUCCUCAGCUCUGUCAGUUAUUUUGUAUAAUUGUAAUAUUUAACCAAUGAUACCUUAUCCAUGAUGCAGAUCCUUUUCCUCCUUUUACUUAUAAAGGGACUAAAAACUUUAUUAUUACAAUUUCUUUGUUAUUUGUACACACUUGAUGGAGCAGAAUGGGUCUGGUUUCAUUUGGGUAUUUUAUAUCAUGAUGCAUGAUAAUGAUAUAAAUAAAUAGGUAAAUAAAAAUUUAAUUGAGAAAA